rnacentral:rRNA from 1 species
CGGAAGAGAUAAGUGCUGAAAGCAUCUAAGCACGAAACUUGCCCCGAGAUGAGUUCUCCCUGACUCCUUGAGAGUCCUGAAGGAACGUUGAAGACGACGACGUUGAUAGGCCGGGUGUGUAAGCGCAGCGAUGCGUUGAGCUAACCGGUACUAAUGAACCGUGAGGCUUAACCUUACAACGCCGAAGCUGUU